AACGAACGCUGGCGGCAGGCCUAACACAUGCAAGUCGAACGCCCUGGCAACAGGGAGUGGCAGACGGGUGAGUAACGCGUGGGAACGUGCCCUUCGGUUCGGAAUAGCUCAGGGAAACUUGAGCUAAUACCGAAUACGUGCGAGAGCAGAAAGAUUUAUCGCCGAAGGAUCGGCCCGCGUCCGAUUAGCUGGUUGGUGAGGUAAUGGCUCACCAAGGCGACGAUCGGUAGCUGGUCUGAGAGGAUGAUCAGCCACACUGGGACUGAGACACGGCCCAGACUCCUACGGGAGGCAGCAGUGGGGAAUAUUGGACAAUGGGCGCAAGCCUGAUCCAGCCAUGCCGCGUGAGUGAUGAAGGCCCUAGGGUUGUAAAGCUCUUUCGCCAGGGACGAUAAUGACGGUACCUGGAUAAGAAGCCCCGGCUAACUUCGUGCCAGCCGCCGCAGUAA
rnacentral:rRNA from 1 species